CCGCGGUWAUACUGGAGGGGGUUAGCGUUGUUCGGAAUUACUGGGCGUAAAGCGCGCGUAKGCGGAYUGRAAAGUUGGGGGUGAAAUCCCAGGGCUCAACCCUGGAACUGCCUCCUAAACUAUCAGUCURGAKUUCAAGAGAGGUGASUGGAAUUCCGAGUGUAUAGGUGAAAUUCGUAGAUAUUCGGAGGAACACCAUAUGGCKAAGGCGGCUCACUGGYUCGAUACUGACGCURACGUGCGAAAGUGUGGGGAGCAAACAGGAUUAGAUACCCUGGUAGUCCACACCGUAMACGAUGAAUGCCAGUCGUCGGGUAUCAUACUVUUCGGUGACACACCUAACGGAUUAAGCAUUCCGCCUGGGGAGUACGGUCGC
rnacentral:rRNA from 1 species